rfam:Felis catus isolate Cinnamon breed Abyssinian chromosome C2, whole genome shotgun sequence.
GCCUGGGUGGCUCAGUCGGUUGAGCGUCCGACUUCGGCUCAGGUCAUGAUCUCACAACUCGUGAGUUCGAGCCCGCUUCAGGCU